UACGUAUGGUGCAAGCGUUAUCCGGAUUUACUGGGUGUAAAGGGAGCGUAGGCGGCGCGUUAAGUCUGAUGUGAAAACCCGAGGCUCAACCACGGGAGUGCAUUGGAAACUGGCGGGCUGGAGUGCCGGAGAGGUAAGCGGAAUUCCUAGUGUAGCGGUGAAAUGCGUAGAUAUUAGGAGGAACACCAGUGGCGAAGGCGGCUUACUGGACGGCAACUGACGUUGAGGCUCGAAAGCGUGGGGAGCAAACAGG
rnacentral:rRNA from 1 species